GACGAACGUUGGCGGCGUGCUUAAUACAUGCAAGUCAACUGAAGCAGUGGUAGCAAUAUCGCUGUGGAGGUGGCGCACGGGUGAGUAACACGUAGGUAAUCUGCCUUCAGGUCUGGCAUAACUCCGUGAAACCGGGGCUAAUAGCAGAUGAUGCAGCGGCUCGACAUCGAGACAGUUGUUAAAGCUAUGGCGCCUGAAGAUGAGCCUGCGUCUGAUUAGCUAGUUGGCGGGGUAACGGCCCACCAAGGCAACGAUCAGUAGCUGGUCUGAGAGGAUGAUCAGGCACACUGGAACUGAGACACGGUCCAGACUCCUACGGGAGGCAGCAGUAAGGAAUAUUGCUCAAUGGGAGAAAUCCUGAAGCAGCAACGCCGCGUGAGGGACGAAGGGCUUUGGCUUGUAAACCUCUGUAGUGAGAGAAAAAAAUCCCAAUCUUUGGGACAUGAUGGUAUCUCAAAAGUAAGCCCCGGCUAACUACGUG
rnacentral:rRNA from 1 species